CCUACGGGGGGCAGCAGUGGGGAAUAUUGGGCAAUGGAGGAAACUCUGACCCAGCAACGCCGCGUGAAUGAUGAAGGUCUUCGGAUUGUAAAGUUCUUUUCUAAGGGAAGAAGAAAGUGACGGUACCUUAGGAAUAAGCCUCGGCUAACUACGUGCAAGCAGCCGCGGUAAUACGUAGGAGGCGAGCGUUAUCCGGAAGGACUGGGCGUAAAGGCUGUGAAGGUGGUUUGGCAAGUUAGUAGCGAAACUCCAAGGCUCAACCUUGGAACUACUACUAAAACGGUUGGACUUGAGUGCAGGAGGGGCAACCGGAAUUCCUAGGGUAGCGGGGGAAUGCGUAGAUAAUAGGAGGAACACCAGGGGCGAAGGCGGGUUGCUGGACUGUAAUUGACACUGAGGCACGAAAGCGUGGGGAGCAAACAGGAUUAGAGACCCCAGUAGUC
rnacentral:rRNA from 1 species